rnacentral:rRNA from 1 species
UCAAGCGACUAAGUGUAUGCGGCGGAUGCCUUGGCGAUCAUAGGCGAAGAAGGACGUGUAAGCCUGCGAAAAGCUGCGGGGAGUUGGCAAAAGAACUUUGAUCCGCAGAUAUCCGAAUGGGGAAACCCUCCAAUUUAUUGGAAUUCAUAACUGAAUACAUAGGUUAUGAAGGCGAACGCAGUGAACUGAAACAUCUAAGUAACUGCAGGAAAAGAAAUCAACCGAGAUUGCGGAAGUAGCGGCGAGCGAAACCGCACCAGCCUAGUCAUUGAUAAUUCUGAUCAACAGCAGAACGACCUGGGAAGGUCGGCUACAGAGGGUGACAGCCCCGUAUGCGAAGUUGAUGGAAUGGUACUGAGGUGACGAAAAGUAGGGCGGGACACGUGACAUCCUGUCUGAAGAUGGGGGGACCAUCCUCCAAGGCUAAAUACUCAUGAUCGACCGAUAGCGAACCAGUACUGUGAAGGAAAGGCGAAAAGAACCCCGGGAGGGGAGUGAAAUAGAACCUGAAACUGCAUACAUACAAACAGUAGGAGCCCGCAAGGGUGACUGCGUACCUUUUGCAUAAUGGGUCAGCGACUUACGUUUUGCGGCGAGCUUAACCGAGUAGGGGAGGCGCAGCGAAAGCGAGUUCGAACAGAGCGACAGAGUCGUAAGGCGUAGACCCGAAACCAGAUGAGCUAUCCAUGGUCAGGUUGAAGGUGUGGUAACACACACUGGAGGACCGAACCGACCGGUGUUGCAAAACCGGCGGAUGAACUGUGGAUAGGGGUGAAAGGCUUAACAAAUCUGGAGAUAGCUGGUUCUCCCCGAAAACUAUUGAGGUAGUGCCUCGUGAAUGACUGCCGGGGGUAGAGCACUGUUAUGGCUAGGGGGACAUGGCGUCUUACCAAACCAUGGCAAACUCCGAAUACUUGGAAGUUUGAGCACGGGAGACAGAGCACCGGGUGCUAACGUCCGGACUCAAAAGGGAAACAACCCAGACCGCCGUUUAAGGUCCCUAAUAACAGCUAAGUGGAAAACGAAGUGUGAAGGCUAAGACAGUCAGGAAGUUGGCUUAGAAGCAGCCAUCCUUCAAAGAAAGCGUAAUAGCUCACUGAUCGAGUCCUCAUGCGCGGAAGAUGUAACGGGGCUAAGCUGUUAACCGAAAGCGCGGAUUUCCAAGCAAUUGGAAGUGGUAGGGGAGCGUUCUGUAAGCCGACGAAGGUGAUUCGUAAGGAUUGCUGGAGGUAUCAGAAGUGCGAAUGCUGACAUGAGUAACGAUAAAGCGGGUGAAAAGCCCGCUCGCCGUAAGCCCAAGGUUUCCUGCUCUACGUUCAUCGGAGCAGGGUGAGUCGGCCCCUAAGGCCAGGCUGAGAAGCGUAGUCGAUGGGAAGCUGAUUAAUAUUUCAGCACCACUGUUGAGUGCGAAGGGGGGACGGAGUUUUGCAAGUAAUCCGGGUGUUGGAUGUCCCGGUUGGCGAGCGUAGGAGGUGAGCAGGCAAAUCCGCUCACGCAUCUCCGAGACGAAGCCUCGAGGUCCUUUAGGACUGAAGUUACCGAAUGAACUUCCAGGAAAAGCCUCUAAGCUCCAGCUCAACGGUGACCGUACCGUAAACCGACACAGGUGGGCGAGUUGAAUAUACUCAGGCGCUUGAGAGAACUCGGGAGAAGGAACUCGGCAAAUUGACACCGUAACUUCGGGAUAAGGUGUGCCUUGGUAGCGUGAAAGGAGAAACUCCCCAAGCGCGAAGAGGUCACAGAAAAUAGGGGGCUGCGACUGUUUACUAAAAACACAGCACUCUGCAAAGACGAAAGUCGACGUAUAGGGUGUGAUGCCUGCCCGGUGCCGGAAGAUUAAGUGAUGGGGUGAGAGCUCCUGAUCGAAGUCCCGGUAAACGGCGGCCGUAACUAUAACGGUCCUAAGGUAGCGAAAUUCCUUGUC